CUCCUGUUCUGCGUCAAGUCACACGCUGCAACAAACACAUGAAGCAACACCAAGAUGUAAGAAAGCGCAAGAAUAAAUAAUAAAACCGAAAGAAAUAGGGGCAAGCAAAUGCCAGAGAGCAAGGGAAUGAAGAGCAACCAGUUAAAGGAAUGAGAGCCACGAAGGAAGACGUACAGCGAGAGAGAACCAGUAUUGAAGACAAGACAAGCACAGCAAAGGACCAUCAGGGUAGUUAAAAACAGAAAAGGGAGCACAUGAGAGGACUGAAAUUUGACAGAAACAGUAAAAGAUGGAGUUCCCAACAGGUUCAGAGAAACCAAGUGGAACAUUUCCAGAUACAGCCAAUAGUGUGACCUAUGGGAGAAGGGUGGGGCCCAUCACUAUCGCUGUGGCUGUGGGUCUAGGACUUCUGAUGCUCAUCAUCAUCAUCUGUGUACUGAAGCACUGCUGCAAGUGUUCCUGCUGCCGUCGCCGAAAGCCUACUUUAAAACAGAGAGUGCUUAAAAAAAUGGCUAUACAGAAGAAGUCGUCAAUGCCAUUCUCUGUCAGUGGAAUGAUGGACAAGAAAUGAAAAUCCCACCUGUUGCUGAUGCCUUAUGACCAAAUUAACUAUUGCAACUUGUAACCGUUAGCCAUAACAUCUGUAUGAGACAUGCAAUGGACUUUUCUGAACACUGUAGUCUUUUUACAUUUACAUUUAUUCGUUUAGCUGAUGGUUUUCUCCAAGUCAGCUUACAUUGUUAAGCUACAAACUAUUAUUUACCCGUCACAGAACUUGGGAACACAUAAAUAUAUUUUGCACCAAAGCGAUUUUUUACACUCACUCACUCACUCACUCACCUUUGCUAACCAUUAAUCCCCCUGGUCAGGGUCACGGCAGCCUGGAGCCUAUCCUGAAAGCACCAGGCGCAAGGUUUGGGGGGGUACACCCUGGAUGAGUCAGUAUUAUAUCACAGGGAAGUCACACAUACAAAGCCACACUCAAUCACUCACGCAUUCACACACCGCAGGCUCUUUAGCAUCACAAAAUCACCUUAACCGCUUGUCUUUAGAAACCAGAACACCUGAAGGAAACACACAUGGACAUAGGGAGAACGUGGAAACUCUACACAGACUAAGCCAGAUUCAAACCUAUGCCUGAACAGCCCAGCUGCCACGAUGCAGCAACACUUGUAAAAUACACUUUGACAUUUAAGAUGAACCCCAGAAGUUGCUGACCAGAAAGUGCUGCGCUGGACAUACAAUAUCCGACUGUACAAAUAGAUAAAAUUAUGAGUCUCUUAGGGUAUAGGGUGGCGCAAUGGGUUUGGCCUGGUCUUGCUCUCUGGUGGGUCUGGGAUUCGAGUCCCGCUUGGGGUGCCUUGUGAUGGACUGGCGUCCCGUCCUGGGUGUGUCCCCUCCCCCUCCAGCCUUGCGCCCUGUGUUGCCGGGUUAGGCUCCAGCUCGCCGCGACCACACUCGGGACAAGCAACUUCAGUCAGUGUGUGCGUGUGUGUAUGUGUCUUAGGGUAAAAGUGUGAAGAAAGUAAGAAAAUGGUAAUAAUCUUAGGCUGUGAAGAUCAGUGUGGGCUGAUGAGUUUCAUUUAAAGUGGUUAACGUGGGUGUGAGACCGAGACUUUCUAGCACGAGCGGUUAAUACACAUAAGAAGCAGUUCCCUGGGAUUCAGUUCCUCACGAAAUGUGUAAGCAUCUUUGUUUAAGGAACUUCUUCAAAGAAUUCUUUCUGCUGAGUAUCAUAACACAUUUUCAUUACUCCAUGUAAAGGAAACUUCAGAACACUUUUUUGCGAGAAGAAUUCAGCAGGCUUUCAAACAGUGUGGCUGAAGUUUCUUUCAGUUAUUGAUUUACUGAAUAACUGAGUUUGUCCUUUGUAAUUUAAAAUCUUUGUAUUUAAAAGCAUCAAAGUAAUGCUUGUUUUUCUCUCGUGUAAAUAAAACAGACUUCCUGGUCUGUUUGGUUCA
ensembl:lncRNA